ensembl:lncRNA PPP3CB-AS1 PPP3CB antisense RNA 1 (head to head)
ACUCCCGAGGGGACGGUCUCCCGCCCGCCCUCACACACAGCUAGCUCUUCAGGCCAGGCCCCCAGGGUUUCGUCCACCUCUCACCUUUGACGACGCGAAUGAAGAAUGAGGAGGUGCUGCGAUCGAACGACUGCGAGGAAACACACCCGCUCUCAUGGCAUUCCCAGUAAACUGAGAAGACGUGAUUAAACCUCAGGAUCUCCUACUAAUAGAGAAAUGUAUAACGAUUUAGCUACCAGAUCUGAAUACUGAAGGGUUGGUAGGGGACCAGAGAAUAGAGGAAGCAUUGUAGGUUCUAGAGUGGAGAAGGGACCAUCCAAAAUGGAGUUUGAAAGAGAAUUCUGGCCUUUGUGUUUAGAGUCUGGAAUUGUCAAGAGUCUGAAAGCACAGAAUAAGACUGCAGCUAGAGCAAUUUAGGCGCCAUAGUUUGUCAAAACAGGUAAGGGGAAUAAAGGGGAUGACACCAAGAGAUGUGCAAAGAAUCUGAAGAAUUCACCUGAAAAGGAUACAACCUCCUCCUGGAAGGCAGAGGAGUAAAUAGGGAAUUGGAAAUUAAUUCCUUAUUUCUGCACAUGCACAGAAUCUGGGCCCAGGUGACUUAUGGAACCUUUAUAGAGACCACGGUGACUGACACUCAUGGGAAAGGGGGUAGAGGGGCAAGAACUGACUGUUCAUCAAAAAUUAUUAGAUGAGUGUGUCCACGACACCAGGAGAUAUGUUGAAUCAUGGACAGGGACCAGCAUAUCCACUAAGCUCUAUAUAUCUUGAUGGUGCAGGAUCCAAGUGGGAUGGAACAACCAAUUCCUGCCCAUCCUCCUGCUCAAUAAUACAUGUGCUCAGAAUCUGUUCAUAAUGCAUGGUGAUGGAGUCUCACUCUAUUGCCAAGCUGGAGUGCAGUGGUGCGAUCUCGGCUCACUGCAACCUCUGCCUCCCGGGUUCAAGCAAUUCUCCUGCCUCAGCCUUCCGAGUAGUUGGGACUACAGGCACGCACCGUCACGCCUGGCUAAUUUUUUGUAUUUUGGUAGAGACGGGGUUUCACCAUGUUGGCCAGGAUGGUCUCAAUCUCCUGACCUCGUGAUCCACCCGCCUCAGCCUCCCAAAGUGCUGGGAUUACAGGUGUGAGCCACCGCGCCCGGCCCACAGUACAGUUUUACAAAGAAAGGUGUAGCUCCAGGAAAGGAAAGGAAUAACCUUUACCAUUGACUGUGCUGCAGGACUCUAGCCCUGAUCUGCUCUCUUCUGGGAGCAUCUGAUAGAACAAACAGAAACCCCUCUCCCACUGUUCUCCUGUGUCCAGAGUGGGAGGCAUAACUGCUUUGCCUCCAGUCAUCAUCUGGGGGCAUAUCUACUCUUCGAGGACCAGGGGUUCGGGACCCUGGAACAGGAUCUGAAUUCCAAGCUGACCUCAGGGGUACAUGAAGACUGCUAGAUGAGACGGGAUCUCACUGUGUUGCCCAGGCUGGUCUCGAACUGCUGGACUCAAGUCAUCCUCCCAUCUUGGCCUCCCAAAGUGCUGGAAUUACAGUGGACAACCUUCAAUGCACUGGUACUUUGUACCCUGACCUCUACUGUGAUGAACACUCAACUUGGGCAAGGAAGUGAAAUUCUCCAAAGCAAGGAGGAGGGUGCUCUGAAUAGAUGGACCCUGAUUCUACUUACAAAACUGUGGGAAGAAACCGGAGCUUCCUCCCUCUCUGAGACAACGGUGCCACUGAGACUGCGUGAGAUGCGACGUAAAUUCUCUGCACUGUACUGCUCAUCCUCCCCACACUCCCUGCUGAGGCCUCGGCAAGGUGUAGCCUUCAAACACACAGACACAUACAGGCAGACACAUAAUACCAGACUUAUGGUUUUCCCACAGACAGUAUCCUCAGGGUAUGGGAAAGAGUAGGGGAAGACUCAGUAGUAAUAGACACCUGAAUUAGAUGUAUUGGUAAGAUAGUGGCCAUGUAACAAUCUCCUCUAAUUCAAAAGAAGCCCAAUCAUAGACCUUAUUUUCUUCUGAUAGCCCCAUAUCACCAUGCCUCUGCCUUAUCAUCAUCCCUGUCACAUCUCUCCAUAAUUCCUUCCCCAACACACCACCCCAGGCCCAGCACCUUAGCACCUGAGGCUGCUACCUGAGAAGUACGCACUGUUCUGGCUUCAUGGAGACCAUGCUCCAUUUCUGCUGUUGAAGUCUUUGAGAGACCAGGAUCAUGGGCUGAGUGCAACCUCCUCCCCAUGCCAUCUGCAGAGCCUGAAGAGGAAAACACAAAUACAAGUUGAGGCCAUCUCUUCCCCUAGGGCCUAACCUCUAAGCCUAGCAGCACAAACUCAGGAGCUGUUGUUUCAUUUAAUAAUAAAUAUGCAUCCUUGAAUUCAACGGAGGAACAUGCUCCUGGAAUUUAGAAGCAAGAGGGGCUGGGCGCGGUGGCUCACACCUGUAAUCCCAGCACUUUGGGAGGCCAACACGGGCAGAUCACGAG